rnacentral:rRNA from 1 species
AACGAACGCUGGCGGCAUGCCUAACACAUGCAAGUCGAACGGGAUCCUAGCUUGCUAGGUGAGAGUGGCGGACGGGUGAGUAACACGUGGGAAUCUGCCUUUUGGUUCGGGAUAACCGCGGGAAACUGCGGCUAAUACCGAAUGCCCUCGAGAGAGGAAAGAUUUAUCGCCAGAAGAGGAGCCCGCGUCCGAUUAGGUAGUUGGUGGGGUAAAGGCCUACCAAGCCGACGAUCGGUAGCUGGUCUGAGAGGAUGAUCAGCCACACUGGGACUGAGAUACGGCCCAGACUCCUACGGGAGGCAGCAGUGGGAAUAUUGGACAAUGGGGGCAACCCUGAUCCAGCAAUGCCGCGUGAGUGAUGAAGGCCUUAGGGUGUAAGCUCUUUGCCAGGGAAGAUGAUGACUGUACCUGGA